AAGUCAUUUCCGCACGAGCAAUUGCAAAGUCUCACUUGGUUGGAAGAAAUGAGGAUAAGUAAUUGUCCAAGGAUGGACUACCCAUUUCCUUGUGGUUUAUGGCCACCUAAUCUAAGUACAUUAUUUAUAGGAGGCUUAAAGAAACCCAUAUCGGAAUGGGGGCAACAAAAUUUCCCAACCUCACUUGUUACACUAAUCUUAUACGGCAAAAAUUCAGGAGUGGUUUCCUUUGCAAAGGUGGAAGAUAUGAGGAAUAGCAGCAAUACCACUUCACCAUCUUUUUUUCUUCCUCCAUCGCUAACUUAUCUAUAUAUCCGUGAUUUUACGGACCUGGAAUCACUUUCAAAGGGCCUGCAACACCUCACUUGCCUGGAAGAACUUGUUAUUGUGUCAUGCCCCAAGCUUAGAGAUCUUCCCGUGACACUACUCCCUUCACUCUCACGUUUGUCGGUGGAUUCUUCAUCCCCAGAACUAAGAAAAAAGUGUCAUAGAAAUGGAAAGUACUGGCACAUCAUCUCCCAGAUCCCUGAUCAUCAGCUAUAUUGAUCACAUGUCUGAAAUUGGUCUUAACACUGUCCUAAAACGAUUUUGCUUGGAGGGCAUGGCCAAAGAGGGCGGAGGUUUAUAAGAUGACAAAAGCUCCAAAUCUAAGCUCAUGACUAUGAAGGAUUGAAGGGCCACUCCAAUACCAAGAUAAACCAGGAAUGAUAUUUGUAUAUUGAUUGUGCGUAAUGUCACAGUUGUCUCUGUCUAGAUACGAUAAUGACAUAACUUGUCUAGUAUCCAAUGUCACCAUUUUCCAGUCUCUUUCUUUCAUAUAUCUGAUUCUA
rnacentral:lncRNA from 1 species